UGCUAUGCCUCCAUAUUGCCAUU
rnacentral:miRNA from 8 species